rnacentral:rRNA from 1 species
GACGAAGGAUGCAAGCGUUAUCCGGAUUCAUUGGGUUUAAAGGGUGCGUAGGCGGACUUGUAAGUCAGUGGUGAAAUCUCUUCGCUUAACGAAGAAACUGCCAUUGAUACUGCAGGUUUAGAGUACAGAUGAUGUGGGCGGAAUAUGACAUGUAGUGGUGAAAUACUUAGAUAUGUCAUAGAACACCGAUUGUGAAGGCAGCUUACAAAACUGUAACUGACGCUGAGGCACGAAAGUGCGGGGAUCAAACAGG